CCCCUAGAGCGGCGACGGGUGAGUAACACGUGGACCAAUCUGCCCCCGGCCCGGGAUAGCCCAGGGAAACCUGGAUUAAUACCGGAUGAGACGGGACCCGCGAUGGCGGGACCCGGGAAAGGCGCUGCGGCGCCGCCGGGGGGAUGAGUCUGCGUCCCAUUAGCUAGACGCGGGGUAACGGCCCACCGUGGCGACGAUGGGUAGCCGGCCUGAGAGGGUGGAGGCCACAUUGGAACUGAGACACGGUCCAGACUCCUACGGGAGGCAGCAGCUAAGAAUCUUCCGCAAUGGGCGAAAGCCUGACGGAAGCGACGCCGCGUGAACGAAGAAGGCCGUGAGGUUGUAAAGUUCUUUUCGGAGGGGGAACAACCGUGGCAGGGAAUGGCCGCGGGAUGACGUGAAUCCCGGAAUAAGCCCCGGCUAACUACGUGCCAGCCGCCGC
rnacentral:rRNA from 1 species